CGGGGAGAAAGUGGCGAAAGGGUGAGUAACACGUGAGCAACCUGCCUCCGGAUCCGGAAUAAUCCAGGGGAAACUUGGUCUAAAACCGGAUGAAGACAUUGGGCCGCAUGGUCUGGUGUUAAAAAUAUUUAUAGUCCCGGAGAGGGGCUCGCGGCCCAUUAGCUGUUGGCGGGGUAAUGGCCCACCAAGGCUACGACGGGUAGGUGGUCUGAGAGGAUGGGUCACCCACACUGGGACUGAGACACUGCCCAGACUCCUACGGGAGGCUGCAGUCGAGAAUCUUCCGCAAUGGGCGCAAGCCUGACGGAGCGAUGCCGCGUGAGGGAUGAAGGCCUUCGGGUUGUAAACCUCUGUCAUCCGGGACGAAAACAAUGACGGUACCGGAAAAGGAAGCCACGGCUAACCACGUGCCAGCAGCCGC
rnacentral:rRNA from 1 species